UAGGGAAUCUCCCACAAUGGGCGCAAGCCUGAUGGAGCAACACCGCGUGAGUGAAGAAGGGUUUCGGCUCGUAAAGCUCUGUUGUUAAAGAAGAACACGUAUGAGAGUAACUGUUCAUACGUUGACGGUAUUUAACCAGAAAGUCACGGCUAACUACGUACCAG
rnacentral:rRNA from 1 species